UUCAAAGCCACAAAUUCGAGUGCGAACCGACUUGUUUAUGGCUUCCUCGAACAGCCUUGAUUCAUCUACUUCUACGGACACUGAGGACAAGGCUGCUAGCCAACUGCCGGAUUUUUUCGAAUCAAUCGCCGAACGUGUGAAAAUCAAAAAGAGAACUUGCACUGAGCCCAAAGGAGCUGCUUGAAAUGAUGAUGUGACUGAGGCUGGCGAAUGAAGUGCAACAUUCUGGCUGACAGCCCCAUCCAAUUCGCAAUCGGAACCAUCAGCAAGCGCAGCCUUUUUUUUUUUGCUAAGGAACUUGCCUAAAUUUUUAUUUAUUGUUUUUUCUUACAUAAAUCUUUGACUAAAAUUGUUAUCUGGAUGCCUACUGAUUUAAGUUAAUUGAUUUUGUAAAUCAAUUGCCAUUGCGUAACGUUUGCGAGCAAUUAUUUAUGUAUG